UUGAGCUACUGUCUUAUAAAACUUCAGAAUGUGACUUGUACAAAGUCUUUGCUUUGAUAGAAGCCAAAAAACAACAGCAAUCGAAGUGUAAUUUUAGCAACACACAGAUUUAAAACAUUGAAUAUGAUGGGCAUGGCCAAAGAAAGAAGUGGACAUUGUUUCUGCAUUCAAAUCACAUUCUUAAUAGAAUUUUGAAUAGGAAGUUGGAAUAUGAUGGGCAUGGCCAAAGACAAAAGUGGACAUUGUUGCUACACUCAAGUCACAUUCUGAAUAGGAAGUGUAAGUGGUACCACUUGCUAAUGUCCCUGGUAAACCCAGUGGAUUAAAAAAUGUUUUGAGCCACUCACGCAUUAAACUUCCGAAUGUGACUUGUACAAAAUCUUGGCUGUGAUAGAAGCCGAGGAACAACCAUCAAAGUGUAAUUGUCAGGAGCACACAGAUUUAAAACAUGGAAUAUGAUGGGCAUGGCCAAAGACAAAAGUGGACAUUGUUGCUACACUUAAGUCACAUUCUGAAUAGGAAGUGUAAAUGGUACCAGUUAAUUGCUAAUGUCCCUGGUUUUGUUUAUGCUAUAAACAAACCCAGUGGAUUAAAAACUGUUUUGAGCCAAUCCCUCAUAAAACGUCAGAAUAUGACUUGUACUAAAUCAUUGCUGUGAUAUAAGCCAAA